AUCUUCAGGGCAGGGUGUGAUUCCCUACCGGUGGUACAGCCCACGAGCCGUAAGGCAUGAUUCGGUGAAACUCCGAAGCCGACAGUACAGUCUGGAUGAAAGAAGAU
rnacentral:ncRNA from 1 species